rnacentral:rRNA from 1 species
UACGUAGGGCGCAAGCGUUGUCCGGAAUUAUUGGGCGUAAAGAGCUCGUAGGCGGUUUGUCGCGUCUGCUGUGAAAUCCCGAGGCUCAACCUCGGGCUUGCAGUGGGUACGGGCAGACUAGAGUGCGGUAGGGGAGACUGGAAUUCCUGGUGUAGCGGUGGAAUGCGCAGAUAUCAGGAGGAACACCGAUGGCGAAGGCAGGUCUCUGGGCCGCAACUGACGCUGGAGGAGCGAAAAGCAUGGGGAGCGAACAGG